UGCAGUCGAGGGGCAGCAUAAUGGAUAGCAAUAUCUAUGGUGGCGACCGGCGCACGGGUGCGUAACGCGUAUGCAACCUACCUUUAACAGGGGGAUAACACUGAGAAAUUGGUACUAAUACCCCAUAAUAUCAUAGAAGGCAUCUUUUAUGGUUGAAAAUUCCGAUGGUUAGAGAUGGGCAUGCGUUGUAUUAGCUAGUUGGUGGGGUAACGGCUCACCAAGGCGACGAUACAUAGGGGGACUGAGAGGUUAACCCCCCACACUGGUACUGAGACACGGACCAGACUCCUACGGGAGGCAGCAGUGAGGAAUAUUGGUCAAUGGACGCAAGUCUGAACCAGCCAUGCCGCGUGCAGGAUGACGGCUCUAUGAGUUGUAAACUGCUUUUGUACGAGGGUAAACGCAGAUACGUGUAUCUGUCUGAAAGUAUCGUACGAAUAAGGAUCGGCUAACUCCGUGCCAGCAGCCGCGGUAAUACGGAGGAUUCAAGCGUUAUCCGGAUUUAUUGGGUUUAAAGGGUGCGUAGGCGGUUUGAUAAGUUAGAGGUGAAAUUUCGGGGCUCAACCCUGAACGUGCCUCUAAUACUGUUGAGCUAGAGAGUAGUUGCGGUAGGCGGAAUGUAUGGUGUAGCGGUGAAAUGCUUAGAGAUCAUACAGAACACCGAUUGCGAAGGCAGCUUACCAAACUAUAUCUGACGUUGAGGCACGAAAGCGUGGGGAGCAAACAGGAUUAGAUACCCUGGUAGUCCACGCAGUAAACGAUGAUAACUCGUUGUCGGCGAUACACAGUCGGUGACUAAGCGAAAGCGAUAAGUUAUCCACCUGGGGAGUACGUUCGCAAGAAUGAAACUCAAAGGAAUUGACGGGGGCCCGCACAAGCGGAGGAACAUGUGGUUUAAUUCGAUGAUACGCGAGGAACCUUACCCGGGCUUGAAAGUUAGCGACGAUUCUUGAAAGAGGAUUUCCCUUCGGG
rnacentral:rRNA from 1 species